GAGGAAGGAGGGGGGCGUGCUUAACACAUGCAAGUCGAACGGAAAGGCCCUGCUUUUGUGGGGUGCUCGAGUGGCGAACGGGUGAGUAACACGUGAGUAACCUGCCCUUGACUUUGGGAUAACUUCAGGAAACUGGGGCUAAUACCGGAUAGGAGCUCCUGCUGCAUGGUGGGGGUUGGAAAGUUUCGGCGGUUGGGGAUGGACUCGCGGCUUAUCAGCUUGUUGGUGGGGUAGUGGCUUACCAAGGCUUUGACGGGUAGCCGGCCUGAGAGGGUGACCGGCCACAUUGGGACUGAGAUACGGCCCAGACUCCUACGGGAGGCAGCAGUGGGGAAUAUUGCACAAUGGGCGGAAGCCUGAUGCAGCAACGCCGCGUGCGGGAUGACGGCCUUCGGGUUGUAAACCGCUUUCGCCUGUGACGAAGCGUGAGUGACGGUAAUGGGUAAAGAAGCACCGGCUAACUACGUG
rnacentral:rRNA from 1 species